rnacentral:rRNA from 1 species
AACGAACGCUGGCGGCAUGCCUAACACAUGCAAGUCGAACGAGACCUUCGGGUCUAGUGGCGCACGGGUGCGUAACGCGUGGGAACCUGCCCUUAGGUUCGGAAUAACUCCCCGAAGGGGGUGCUAAUACCGGAUAAUGUCUUCGGACCAAAGAUUUAUCGCCUUUGGAUGGGCCCGCGUUGGAUUAGCUAGUUGGUAGGGUAAAAGCCUACCAAGGCGACGAUCCAUAGCUGGUCUGAGAGGAUGAUCAGCCACACUGGGGCUGAGACACGGCCCAGACUCCUACGGGAGGCAGCAGUGGGGAAUAUUGGACAAUGGGCGAAAGCCUGAUCCAGCAAUGCCGCGUGAGUGAUGAAGGCCUUAGGGUUGUAAAGCUCUUUUACCCGGGAUGAUAAUGACAGUACCGGGAGAAUAAGCUCCGGCUAACUCCGUG